ensembl:snRNA U2 U2 spliceosomal RNA
AUCACUUCUCAGCCUUUUGGCUAAGAUCAAGUGUAGUGUCUGCUCUUAUCAGUUUAAUACCUGAUACAUCCUCUAUCCGAGGACAAUAUAUUAAAUGAAUUUUUGGAGCAGGGCUUUGGGAUAGGAGCUUGCUCUGUCCACUCAAUGCAUCUUCAAAUUCCCCCAGAGAUUCCGACUCAUAAAUUGGGAGAGGCCAG